rnacentral:tRNA from 1 species
GAUGAUAUGGCUCAGUUGGUAGAGAGCUUGCCUCUCACGCACAACGCUCUGGGUUCAAUUCCCAGCAUCAUAA